CAAUAGCGUGUAUUAAAGUUGUUGCAGUUAAAAAGCUCGUAGUUGGAUUUCUGGUGGGAGCGAUCGGUCUGGCGCUUAGCGCGAGUACUUGCAUCGUCUCCGGCCAUCCUUGGGGAGAGUCUGUCUGGCAUUAGGUUGUCGGGCAGAGGAUCCUCAUCGUUUACUGUGAAAAAAUUAGAGUGUUCAAAGCAGGCUUAUGCCGUUGAAUAUAUUAGCAUGGAAUAAUAAGAUAGGACUUUGGUACUAUUUUGUUGGUUUGCGCACCAAAGUAAUGAUUAAUAGGGACAGUUGGGGGCAUUCGUAUUCCGUUGUCAGAGGUGAAAUUCUUGGAUUUACGGAAGACGAACUACUGCGAAAGCAUUUACCAAGGAUGUUUNCAUUA
rnacentral:rRNA from 1 species